AUUUCUUGUGAGCAACUGUGAAACAGGGUGUAACGUUUCUCUAUGGUGAAACCUUUUCGAGGUGUUUCUGCGUUGUAUUUUCGAUUUAAGUGGUCUUCGCUGCCGUGGUUAGUUUGUUUGGCUGCCCAGACUUGUUGCAGCCCAAGUAACAGUGGAGGUCAGCGUUAUUUUCUUACCAGAUUUGCUAGUGAGUGGUUCAGCCAUGGCUAUGUAUGGAAGAGAGCAGGCACUAUUUUGCAAGUCGCCUAUUACUUAAUUGCAGGCAUUAUGGGCAUGCUGCCUUUACGACUGGCUAUUCUGAAGACUGGAGAGCAGUAAGCACAGCAUGUGCUAUGACAGGAUGACUAUCAAGAAAGAAGAAAAAAGAUACUGAGCUCUAAGAAAACCAAGAACAGAGACAGCGCCCACCAUGAACUCUCUCACAGCACUAUCGUUGAUUUACUUGAAAGUUUGUUCUCGCAACGGCCAUGGUCAUAUUUUGUACUCUCUCUCCUUCAAGAAUGACAGAAUAUCUGAUUGAAUUAAAGAAUUAUUACACUUAAGAACAGCAAGUCUGCAGAACUAAUUGCACAAAAGGUGUCAUGGAUGCUACUCAAGCUACAAAAAGCCUGCCUAAAAGUGUACCUGAAAUCAGUGUAGAGAACAUGCAGAUGGAAUGAGCCACUGCUUUCCACUAAAACAAGACUUUAGUUUCUUCGUCCAGCUUUUAUAAAACAUAUUUUGGCUGCCCCAUUAUAGGCCUUACGCUAACAUUGAAUCAAAGGAUAUCAGCACCAUACAGUCACAAUGAGGACAAGCAGAGAUCUACAAUCAUUGUCAUUACAUGCCGAUGAAAAGAACUUCAUUUAGUACAAUUUCCACAACUGGGAAAGCUACAUGCUUGUGUAUGAAGGUAUAGAUGCCAGCUCUAUCCAAUAGACAGAUGAGUGCGCAUUGGACAGCCAUGGCAGCUGCUGGCACCAUCCUGCUCUCCAAGAUAAGUGUUCUCCACUGAUGUAUGAGCAGAGUGGCUGAGAGGCAAAAUCCUGGACUGCCAAUUUGAUUACUGUGAGUUAAUAUCCUUCAAGCAGAAUGAGAACAUUUCGUUCUUUGUAGUUUCCUUGCAAAGGAUUUUGGUAUAAUAGUUAUGGGCAGGUGGAGGCAUCACUAGAGAUCAAAACAAGCAGGGGAGUUCUAUAUCUUCUUGCAUGUUAACAUUUUGUACAGGGCAGCCUGCUUACGAUUAAUUUUCACAUACAUCACUAGGGAAAUAAACUCCACUGCAAUAUGCAGAACUACUGGCACUGUAGUUGCAGCAAUGAAGGCAUGAAUCAGAAAAUAAUUUUAGCACUUCCUUCAAAACUUAAACAGCUCAUUAAUAAGUGUUGUAACACGUGCCAUUGGAUGACAAUAUAGUUAAACGUCGAUAAAGAGAUGUCGGUAAGAUCGGCACUUUACUUCGUUAGAUAAAAAUUGUGCUAAAUUGAAAGUCAACCUUUUCGCGAAGUACUGUCGCCAACCGAUUCUUUUUUACUAGGAAGGGGCGUAACAAUUCAACUUGACUCCGUUUCCCCAUUCCCCCUUUUCCCUAACAUACACCAGCGUGUCAUCAGCUUGCCUAAUAAAGUAGCUUUUUUCCCAUUACAUUAUAUUUGCAGUAAAAUUGCCUGAUAAGUUUCGCAUUAUUUCUCUGGGAAAUUGUCAUUUCCUUCAGCGUGUCGAGGGCAGCUUCCCUGAAUGGAUGGAUGUUAUGAACGUCCCCUUUGGAACGGGGCGGUGGUUUGCGCCACCAAGCUCUUGCUAUUAUACUGCCCGAUGUCUUACUUAGGUUAAAUAAUAAAAAAGAAAAGAAAAAAAGCACUGUGAACUACCACACCCAAAUUUUCUGAUCCCCUAUUGCGAACUGUGCUUUUGUAAGUCUCAGUUUUUUUGUCGUUUCCCUACUUUUCUUCCACCAAUCCUCCAAUCGCCUCUUACUAAUGUCUAUUGCGGACAUGUUUACUUUUCCACUGCUCCCGCUGAACCCAAGGGCUUCAAGGAGGCCAGUGGUUCCUAAAUCGACCGCUGGGUAGACAUCUUCACUUUGUAAUAAAACAUGCUCCAUAGUUUACCCAGCUUUACCGCAGCAAGCACAUGCUUCUUCUUCCUUCUUAUAUUUCGCAUUAUAGGUGCGUGUUUUAAGGCAUCCCGAUCUCGCUUCGAAAAGUAAUGAGCAUCCCUUUGAGUUAUCACAAAUUGUUUUUCCCGAUUUCGUUUUUUUCUUCUUCAGCAGUUAUUCAUAGCAGGUUUCUUUUCCAGUGCCACAACCCAUGAGAUUAUUUCAACCUCUCUGACUUUCCGCUUGACGUUCUUUGUUGCUGUGUUGCCCACCCUACAGGCCGCAACUUGCUGGUAAGCUUCCUAGUUCUUUUCCUCCACUGUGAAUCAAUGUUUUUCCUGUACAGAUACCUAAACUCUCUCCCAGCCCAUUUACUUUCUUCCAUAUUCCUCAGGCGUUCUUCAUACUCAAUUUUACUGCGAGCUUUCCUCACUUCGAAACUAGUCCAGCCCAUAUCACCCUGCCCAGCUUCAUUUGUAGCCUUCCUGUGAGCACCCAAUGCGAGGCAAACCACUGACCUUUGGUUCCCAUCGAGUCCUGAUUGCACCUCUGAUUUAAAGGACACAACCGCAUUUCCAAAAGUUAGUCCUGGAACCAUUACACCUUUCCACAUACCUCGGAGGACCUCGUACUUAUUGUAUCCCCAUGGCGGUCUGUGCUUCAUUAUGGCGGCCAUUUCUCUUCCCCUUAACUGUUAUUUUUUCCUGUGUUUCCACAUAUCUGUUGCCUUCGUUUAUCCAUAUACCAAGGUAUUUAUACAGUAUUCUGUUACCCGAGGUAUUUCCUGGCCCUGUAUCUCCACUGUCUGUUCACCGUUUUCAUUGAAUACCAUUACUCCUGAUUUUCUAACACUAAAUUUCAAACCUAAAUUGUUGCCUUCCUGUCCAGGUAUUAGCCAGACGUUGCAAAUCACUUUGCUUGUUAGCUAGCAACACAAUCUCGUCUGCAUAAAAUAAACCUGGGAGCUGUUGCUCUACUACUGUACCCGCCUGUUCGUGUGAGAGAUUAAACCCGAUAUUACUUCCUUCUAGCACUCUCUCCAUCCUCACCAUGAACGAUGGAUGCAUGGAUGGAUGGCGGCUAUACCGUUUGUAAUGGGCGGCGGCUGGCACCACCUAGCCUUUUGCUCCCCCUCCUAUUUUUUUUUCUUUAUAUCCCUUUCUCCUUACACUAGUUUUCACUCCCCUUCUCUCCCCAAAGUAAAUAUGUAAAAUAGUAUAGAAGACAUUAGCUCCCCGAUUUAUGGUAUUAUCUCUCCCUUGAUUUCCUCCACCAAUCCUCUAGCCUCCCCUUCGUUACUGCCUCUUUUCUCGCCUAUUUGCCCUUGUUCCCCGGGAAAACCUGAUGCCGCUUUCAUAUGUGUCAUUGUUCCCUCAGCCAGAGUCGGACGAAGGUCUGCGCAUCUCAGCACUAUAUGCUCUGUGGUCUCAAUUUCGGCUUUGCAAGCUGUGCAUAAAAGGUCGACGGCUUCAAAUUUAGCCCUGUAUGUUUUCAUUCUCAAAACCCCGAUCCCAGCUUCGAAUAAUAGUGAGCUGCCCUGCGAGUUAUCAAAUAAGAGCUCUCUUUUUGUCUCCCGUUUUUGUGUCCUAUACAAUAGCUAGCACUGGCUUUCCGAGCAUUCUUCCCACCUUUUUCUUUUGGUCUCCUUCACCUCCUUUCCGACACUAGAACCAUGUUGAGCCCCCUCCCUCGGCUGUAGGUAUCUAAUCCUCAGCCUCCUAGUUCUGUGUGCGCACUUUGUGUCCAAACUUUUCAUGUAUAGAUAUUUGUACACUUUUCCCGCCCGCAUUUUUUCCCCCAGUGCUGCGAGUCUCGGUUCAUAUUUUAGCUUACUUAUUGCCUCUCUACCUUUGAAUGACAUCCAUCCCGUGUCCCCCUGCACUCCCUCAUUAGGGGUGUUCCUGUGCGCUCCUAAGACCAACCCGCCUACACUUUUGUCUUGUUUCCAUGCAUGCCUGAACUUCCAAUUCAUGCACAGUACUGAAUUUCCGAAUGCGAGGCCAGGUACCAUAACCCAUUUCCAUACCCCUCUAACCACCUCGUACCUAUUAUAGUUCCAUAGUGCCUUGUGUUUCACUGCAUUCCUUCAUUUGGUUCCAUAACCUUUCUCGGGUUACAUUAUCAUAGGCUCUUCUAAUGUCUAAAAAAGCUAUCCAUAGCGGUUUCUGCCUGGCUGCCGCUAUCUCUAUGCAUUGUGUUAUAACAAAUAAAUUAUCAUCUAGCCUUCUGUUCCUUCGAAAUCCAUUCUGCAGCUCUCCAAAGAUAUCUUCCCAUUCUGCCCAUUCCUCCAUUCUGAUUUUCACCAUCUGCAAUGCUACUCUGUAUAUGACUGAUGCGACAGUUAUUGGCCUGCAGGAUUUAAUGUUGUCCUUGCUUCCUUACCUUUGUAAACUAAUAUCACUCUGCUUGAUUUCCAGUCCUGUGGAACAUCUCCCUCUACAACUAUUUGUUCAAUAAGUUGUCAUAAUUUUAAUUUACUUUUCUGGCCUAAUAUGCUUAUCAAUUUCAUAGGUAUGUCAUCAGGUCCUGUCGCUGUUCCCAAGGGGACCUUGUGUUCAAUUCUGUCCCAUUCCUUAUUUGUCAUCCCGCUGUUCUCCUUCUCUAAUUCUGUGCCGCUGUUGUCAUUGUUCUCCAUUUCGCUACCCUCUGGCUCUGCAAAUGCUGCCUCUAUUGUUAACCUAAUAUAUUCCUGAGCUUCCUCUCCCUCUACCUUUGUUCCUUCUGGUGUGGUCAAUGAGUGCUGAACCACCUCUGUCUUCUUACUCUGUUGCCUUAUGUGUUCCCAAAACUUCUUAGAGGCAUUUCUGUCUUUCUUUCGUAUCUCUAACAACCACUGUACCCAAACUUUUGCUAUCUUGGCUUGAAUUAAUGCCAUUGCUUCUCUUUUCAUUGCAAGGUAAUUCUCCCAUUUUGUCUCCACCUCUUCUGGUGGGGCUCCCCUUUUCUUUGCUGCUCUGUGUUUUCUGCACGCAUCCUUGCGUUGCUCUAUGGCCUCCUUAACCUCUCGGUCCCACCAGCUUUUCGGUGUAUGUUUUCCCUGCUUACUUCCUAGUUUCCUAAUCUGUCCCUUCUCUAGCUCUCGUUUAAAAAUACCUAUUAACUCGUCGUAUGUCCAUGCCCUUCGCGGUUACUUGGAUGCUAUGUUUUCAAUGUUUUUCGCCACUUCUUGUAGCUGCCCGUCAUUCAGUUUGCUCAUACCUUUCCUUUCUUUAGUUUCUAUCAGUGGUACUGUCUUUCCAAAACUGAUUUUGAUUCGUUUGUGAUCACUCCCCAGGUUUUUUUUACCUUCCUCAUCAAUUUCCAUACCUCCCAACCGUUCAUACAGUUUGUGGGACAUUAGGCAGUAGCCGAUAGUCGAGUGGGAGUUAUUUCUUUCCCAUGUUAUCUUCCCGUCGCAUUUAAUUCAGUAUUAAGCAUUACAAAAUCAUGGGCCUCAUAAAAAUCUACUAACAUCAGCCCUGUUGCAUCUGUCGCCCCGUCAAAGUAUUCCAAAUGUGCAUUCAUUUCCCCUAGGACGAUUAUCUCCCGUUUCAUAGUUAACUCCCCGAUGUCCUUGGCCAUACAUUUGAAAUAUUUUGAAAUAACUGAAAUGUUCCGAUUUGAAAUAACUUCAAUUAUGGAGAGCGACCUCUGUGUGGUAUACCGAAACGAGCGGCGAAGUCCUUUAUACCACGCCGAUCGAGAUCGCUUGCACGAUGCUAACUGGCCUGGCUCACAGGCAAAUGGGUGUUGCAUUUAGUCAAGGCGUUUAGUACU